GAUGAACGCUGGCGGCGUGCCUAAUACAUGCAAGUCGAGCGAACGGACGAGAAGCUUGCUUCUCUGAUGUUAGCGGCGGACGGGUGAGUAACACGUGGAUAACCUACCUAUAAGACUGGGAUAACUUCGGGAAACCGUAGCUAAUACCGGAUAAUAUUUUGAACCGCAUGGUUCAAAAGUGAAAGACGGUCUUGCUGUCACUUAUAGAUGGAUCCGCGCUGCAUUAGCUAGUUGGUAAGGUAACGGCUUACCAAGGCAACGAUGCAUAGCCGACCUGAGAGGGUGAGCGGACACCAUGAGACCGACACCCGGAACAGACUACGACGUGAGGAAGCAGUACGGAAUAUUUCACAAUGGGCGUAAGACUGACUGAUUAAAGUCGCGUGAAAGAUGAAGUUCGUAGGAUCGUAAAACUCUGUUAUUAGUGAAGAACAAAUGUGUAAGUAACUGUGCACAUCUUGACGCUACCUAAUUAGAAAGCCACGCCUAACUACGUG
rnacentral:rRNA from 1 species